rnacentral:misc_RNA from 1 species
UGGAUGUGGGGGUUUGUGCAGAAAGCUUCACGGCGUGCUGCUCCCCUUAAAUAAAUUAGCGAGUUUUAAACUAGGCUCCGUCUAUUGGUGUGAUAAUUAUCUACGCCGUGGAUUGGGCUUAGACUUGCUUCUAACCGUCCGUAAGGACAUACUUUUGACAAUUUGACCUCAAAUCAGGUAGGACUACCCGCUGAACUUAA